UACGGAGGGUGCAAGCGUUAUCCGGAUUUACUGGGUUUAAAGGGUGCGCAGGCGGAUAUGUAAGUCAGUGGUGAAAUCUCUAGGCUUAACCUGGAAAUUGCCGUUGAUACUAUAUAUCUUGAAUGUUGUGGAGGUAAGCAGAAUAUGUCAUGUAGCGGUGAAAUGCUUAGAUAUGACAUAGAAUACCUAUUGCGUAGGCAGCUUACUACACGAUCAUUGACGCUGAGGCACGAAAGCGUGGGGAGCAAACAGG
rnacentral:rRNA from 1 species